AAGAUGGGACUGCAGAUGAAAAGGGAAAUUAACUUGAGGUUGAAGAGGACCUUCAUGGAGACACCCAGGGACCUUCAAAACUCACGACCUUCCUGCUCAAGGCAUAAAGCCCACUUCCCUCUGGUCUCUGCAGGUUGGGAACCUGUGCCUCCUCGAAGACCAAGGAACCACUCUAGCAACAGCUUCCUUGACUGGCCUCCAUCCACUGCUCCAGGGACUGACCCAAGGUAUCUUCAGGAUCCUACAGAGGAGGCUUUGGAAAGCUUACCAGUUUCCUAACUACUCUUCAAGGAUUACAUCUCUCAGGAAGAGCUCAUCUCCCACUGAAGCUCCUGGCCCAGGCUUCUGCAGUGCCAUGCUCCGUGUAUUUGACAAGCUGAGUUGGACACUCCAUGUGGUAGAGUGUCAGUUUGUCAAAUACCCCAAGUGUGGCACAUGCUUAACAUCGUAGGCCAGGACAGCUGAGAUACAACAAUAGACUGCCAGCUGGACACAAGAAUGCUCAGCAAAGCUCUUACAAGUUAUUUUCAGUCACUUGGAAGGAUCUGAAGCACUGUAUCUGAGGGUGCCAGGGGAAAAAUGAGGCAGAUCUGGGAACUACAGCCUUGGGCUGUAUCUAUAUACAGUAUGGGAACCUGAGGGGGCACAGCAGUCUUGAGAAGGUAUACAGGGAACAGUGAUGGAAGUGCUCCUUGAUUCAUUAUUUUCUUUCUUCAUGUUCCCCUUUUAGAGUGUCCCAGCAAGGACACUAGAGUUCUCAUACAAGUAUCAUGGUGGGGCUUAGAAACACCUUCUCUGACAUUCAGCCUUGGCUUUCAAACACACUGAACUUACCUGUCUCUCUCCUUUUCUUCAUGCCUUUUCUUCUUCUGGGAACCAUCUUCUCCAUUUCUCUCCACUUGCCCCAUUCUUUCUCAUUCUUCCUGACUCAGCUAAAGUCUCCCCAGGGAUUUUUAAAAGUCAACAUGUACUCUUUCCUUUUUUCAUUCUCAAAGCUCUCCUUGCUUGGGUCCUUGUAUUUUCCCUUUUAUCGUGGCUCAAUGGCACUUCUUGAAUUGUUGGUGAACUUUUCCAGGGGAUAUUUUUGAAUCCCCCACUAGAUUGCAAGCUUCUAGACAACAAGACUGUUUCCUUGAUUAUUGUUUCCCCAUUCCAUUCCCACUCUAGCCCUUAUCUCAAUACUGUGGUUAUAGAAAUUACUCAAUAAAUGUUUACUGAUUGA